rnacentral:rRNA from 1 species
GACGAACGCUGGCGGCGUGCUUAACACAUGCAAGUCGAACGGAAAGGCCCUGCUUUUGUGGGGUGCUCGAGUGGCGAACGGGUGAGUAACACGUGAGUAACCUGCCCUUGACUUUGGGAUAACUUCAGGAAACUGGGGCUAAUACCGGAUAGGAGCUCCUGCUGCAUGGUGGGGGUUGGAAAGUUUCGGCGGUUGAGGAUGGACUCGCGGCUUAUCAGCUUGUUGGUGGGGUAGUGGCUUACCAAGGCUUUGACGGGUAGCCGGCCUGAGAGGGUGACCGGCCACAUUGGGACUGAGAGACGGCCCAGACGCCUACGGGAGGCAGCAGUGGGGAGUAUUGCACAGUGGGCGGAAGCCUGAGACGGCAGCGCCGCGUGCGGGAUGACGGGCUUCGGGUUGUGAACCGCUUUCGCCUGUGACGAAGCGUGAGUGACGGUAAUGGGUAAAGAAGCACCGGCUAACUACGUG